rnacentral:rRNA from 1 species
AUUGAACGCUGGCGGCAGGCCUAACACAUGCAAGUCGAACGAGUGGCGGACGGGUGAGUAAUGUCUGGGAAACUGCCCGAUGGAGGGGGAUAACUACUGGAAACGGUAGCUAAUACCGCAUACCAUCGGAUGUGCCCAGAUGGGAUUAGCUAGUGGGUGGGGUAACGGCUUACCUAGGCGACGAUCCCUAGCUGGUCUGAGAGGAUGACCGGGCAGACUGGAACUGAGACACGGUCCAGACUCCUACGAGAGGCAGCAGUGGGGAAUAUUGCACAAUGGGGGCAAGCCUGAUGCAGCCAUGCCGCGUGUAUGAAGAAGGCCUUCGGGUUGUAAAGUGCUUUCAGCGGGGAGGCGUUACCCGCAGAAGAAGCACCGGCUAACUCCGUGCCAGCAGCCGCGGUAAUAC